rnacentral:rRNA from 1 species
CCUACGGGGGGCAGCAGUGAGGAAUAUUGGUCAAUGGGCGGAAGCCUGAACCAGCCAAGUAGCGUGAGGGAUGACGGCCCUACGGGUCGUAAACCUCUUUUGCACGGGGAUAACACCCUCCACUUGUGGCGGUCUGCAGGUACCGUGCGAAUAAGGAUCGGCUAACUCCGUGCCAGCAGCCGCGGUAAUACGGAAGGUCCGAGCGUUAUCCGGAUUUAUUGGGCUUAAAGGGGGCGUAGGCGGGCGUUAAAGUCAGUGGUAAAAUUGCGGGGCUCAACCGCGCCCCGCAGUUGAAACUGGACGCCUUGAGUACACAACAGGCAGGCGGAAUGCGUGGUGUAGCGGUGAAAUGCAUAGAUAUCACGAGGAACCCCGAUUGCGAAGGCAGCCUGCCGGGGUGCGACUGACGCUGAGGCUCGAAGGUGUGGGUAUCAAACAGGAUUAGAUACCCUUGUAGUC